GUAGUCUGCAACCCGGCCUACAUGAAGCUGGAAUCGCUAGUAAUCGCGGAUCAGAAUGCCGCGGUGAAUACGUUCCCGGGUCUUGUACACACCGCCCGUCACACCAUGGGAGUCGGAAAUGCCCGAAGUCUGUGACCCAACCUCAGGGAGGGAGCAGCCGAAGGCAGGUCGGAUGACUGGGGUGAAGUCGUAACAAGGUAUC
rnacentral:rRNA from 1 species